rnacentral:rRNA from 1 species
GACGAACGCUGGCGGCGUGCUUAACACAUGCAAGUCGAACGGUAAGGCCCUUCGGGGUACACGAGUGGCGAACGGGUGAGUAACACGUGGGUGAUCUGCCCUGCACUUCGGGAUAAGCCUGGGAAACUGGGUCUAAUACCGGAUAGGACCACUGCCUGCAUGGGUGGUGGUGGAAAGCUUUUGCGGUGUGGGAUGGGCCCGCGGCCUAUCAGCUUGUUGGUGGGGUGAUGGCCUACCAAGGCGACGACGGGUAGCCGGCCUGAGAGGGGGACCGGCCACACUGGGACUGAGAUACGGCCCAGACUCCUACGGGAGGCAGCAGUGGGGAAUAUUGAACGAUGGGCGCAAGCCUGAUGCAGCGACGCCGCGUGAGGGAUGACGGCCUUCGGGUUGUAAACCUCUUUCAGCACCGACGAAGCGCAAGUGACGGUAGGUGCAGAAGAAGGACCGGCCAACUACGUGCCAGCAGCCGCCGCGG